AUGGUCACUUCCUGUCCCCCAUAUAAAUCACUAGGACCCAUUUUCUUACCAACAGCUACCUUGCCACGAGAAGCUCUGCUGCCAAAGGAACGUCCAGCAGCUUCUGUCUUCUUAUCAGAGUUUUUCAUGCUUCCAGGAGAGAAGAGAAACCAUCUCACUCUCAUGCUAAGACUGAGAGAUGUGCUUCUAAAUGGAACUUGCAAUUUGCUGGAAACCGUUUUAAAAGGCAAGUAA
rnacentral:lncRNA from 1 species